GCUUCACGAUAGUGGGGAGGACCAGGCCGCGGUGAAGGCAGGUCAUGCGCUCCUCACGCUCCACGAACGGAACCUGCGCACGGAGGCGGUAGCGCGGGGUGGCAGCCGGCAAUGAGGCGGCCGCGCUACGUGACGAGCUACGGGUCCCCCUUUGUGAUGUUUUGGCAUCGCUCCUUCAUCGCACAUCCUCAGGUACGUCAAUUCACUUCCUUCCCUUCCCUUCGUCCCUCGGUCCCACGCUCGUGGCGCUGAAGUGGUGGCAACAGGCGAUGGCGGUGGUGUCGCUGAUGGCGGCGAGGACAGCAUGUGGCAGCUCCCGAAGCAUGAACACGACCGCACCUCGGGCCUGCCGUCUGCCAAGAUAUGGCUCUGGCCGAUUGACAAUGGAGGUUUGGGAUCCUUCCUCUCAGCACCCACUCCUGGAAGAAUCAGCGGUGCGCCACGCCGAUUGAACCCCGUCGAGAUCACUCGCCAAGAUUGCUAUUCUGAAGUUUAUUGUAAAGAAAGUGAAGAGUGAGACAGGAUCCGUUUAUUUUCAACCGGUUUAUUUUCAACCGGUUUAUUUCCAUCAAAUUACCCCCACCCCCACGCCCACCCACCGAAACGCGCCCAGCGAA